rnacentral:lncRNA from 1 species
CGUCUUGUGUUGCAUCAAAAUCAGACGGUGGCAAAGGCAAACCAUCCGGUAUGGUCUCAAACCGGAAAUCAGGCAGGCCUUCAACAGAGUCCGGUCCUCUGGACCGGAUUAAUCGCCUGUGGUUGAACUCAGUGUUAACGAAGGUUAUGUGAAAGCCUCUUGAGUGCAAAAGCUUGGCUAGGUGCAUCAUAGGGGUAACAUGGCCCUGUGAUGGAUAGGGAACACAUACUGCAUGUGGUUUUCUGGCUCCAGUAGAACUCAUGUUUUCUCUGAGGCACUGAAAUGAAAUGCUUUCCUGGUUUUUCUUGGCCCAAGAACAAAAGAGAUGUACUAGUCCACGAGCAUCUUUUGAUGAUGAAAUUAUCAGACUGGGUCCCCUAUAUUUUCUAGUUGAUGCAUCACAACGUGAUUGGCCUGCGGCACUGAAUCCCAAUUAGAUGGGACGAUAACUUUAAUCUUCAUGUCACAAGCUCCAAGGUGCUUCUGGAGUGGGUUAUGCUGAAGCUUUUCCGAAUAUUAUUUUUAUUCUUAAAAAAUGGGAAGAUUCACUCACGAGUGCUUUAGCAACCACAUGCUAGAAAUCACCCGAGGAUGAUUAAUAAUGUCGAACUCGAUGUUGUGAUGACGUAGAAAGUAAUGUAAGAUAUCAAACGUUCAAUGAAUUUCCUAGUAGCAGACGUGCGUGCUGUGGAAUUGAUUCCUAUCUUCUUGUCCCCGUUUUUGUAUGCUUGUGUGAGGUGGGGUACUGGAGCUUUUCUAUUGGCCAGCUGAUAGCAACUGAUCAAGCAGAUGACCAGCCAAAAACGAGGACAAUGAUUGGAUGAGGUAGAUGCGAUAGAGCACAUUUAACUUAACUAGAGUUAGGUGGCUGGCAGGUUAAAUCAUCACUUGAUUGCUCCGCAAAAUAAGGUAAGAUCAAUCAAGUUAAUUUGAAAGAUUUGUUUUUUUAAAGAAAAACAUUUAUUAGAACAUCAUUUUAGAAGUGGCUCGAGACUCGUAAAUAGACCCAUCUAUAUACGUCAUUUCUCAGUAUUAAAUGGAACUGAAAGACGGAAGCUAUAGCUCUCUUCAUGCAGGCGGGGGUGCUCGAAAAGCACAAUUGAUUUCUCCAAUUUUCAAGUGCGUUUGUGCUAAUUCUAAAACACCGUUUACCCAAUUUCUUAAAAUCAAUGGAUUUUACAGCCUUGCUUUGAGAAAGGAAAUGAGACACGAAAGGUUGCAAGAGCAGUUUUUGUUCCUCCAUUGCACAGCCAGGUAAUCAAGGUUACAAAGUUCUCCAAAAAGCACCAAAAUGUGUCUAAACAAGAAGGAAAGCUGAAACAUCAGUCUUGAAGAACAAAUUAAGUGUAUGAUUGGAUCAUCGUAACAUAAAUUUGAAACUGGGUGUUAAUUUGUGGCAUCAUCUUUUCUAGCUAAUGUUGAGCUUUCUUUUAUCAUUGUUCAGAUUGGCAGUUCAAUUUUUUUAGGGCAUAGAUUGUAGUACUGAUCAUGUGCAUAUGUUAUUCAAGGAUUGCGCCACCAGGACCUUACAUGUGAUUGCUUGUAUUUUCAGGCUUAUAUCCCUAAAAGUUGUCUUUGUUUCUCGACUAUUUCCAGCCAAGUACUUGUCCCACUUAUCGCUACCCUUAUUUGGACAAUUGAGCACCGGCCAACAUGCACAGAUGACAAGCUCAGUGCAUGGUGCAGUGUUUCUUGCCUUAUCACAACCUCCCACUACACUAUUUUCUAAGAAAUUAUGUGCAACAACCUUACCUUAUGUGCUUGUAUUUUGAGCUGUGAGGUUUGAACAACCUCAUGAUAAGCCUUUUGAAAUAGAAAAAAAUUCACUCUUUUCUUCUUUUUUCCAUUAGUUUUGUUACUGUAACUCGUUUAGCAUUUGAUAGAGGGUGCAUAUGGUCAGUCAAUGCACGGAUUACUGUCUCUCUAAUCCCCUCGCGCCGUUGUUUUCUUGGAUGAAAUUAAGGUAUGCAAGCUUUCUUGGCAAGUUAUAUUUGUUUUCAUAACCUCCAGGCAAAUCUGGAGGCAUUUCCACUCAUUUGUAUUUUGGGAUGCCUCUGCUGAUAUGGUAAUAUAAAUAUAGAGUUGCAAUCCACAUCGCUUGUGGCUAGCCCGAUCGAUCUUAAUAGUUUCUAUUUCUUUUUAAAAUUUUAAUAUCUAGAUAUUAGAAAAUUCAGAAAAAAUUUGGGGAUUCUUUUAGAUUUAUUUAUGAGCCUCUUAGAUGUUUUUUUUACGACCUUACUUGGUAUUGAAUUGUAAACUUAUACUGUGAAAUAUGAAUCUAAUAUACAAUACAUAUUUAUUUUUCUUUCUUUUUUCUAUCUAAAAAAUUAAUAAAAAUAUGUGUUUUGCUUUUAAUUUAAAGUUUACAAAUUUAUUCACUAAUAUCAGAGUAAAAAAAUAUUCAUAUGCACUAAUAUCAGAAUUAAAAAUAUUAACAAUAAGAUUGAGAUUUAAUUUGAAUCUCUAAUAUUUAUUUACAUCAAAGUCAACAAUACCAUACUUUUUUGUUAAAUAAUAUUUAUGAACGUCAUAAUUGAAAGCAUUUGUAUUUGAAUAUUUAUUGACACCAGCAUAAAAAAUGUUAUAUAAAAAUCAUCAAAAACAGAAUAAAAUUAAUAAUGAAUCCUGUUUCUGUUUAAAAAGUAAUAGUUUUUUUUUUUUUGUAUAAACAGUCUUGUAUCAUAAAAAAGAAUUUUACCAGUUAUGAUUUAUAGCGCACAUAAUAUUAGAUUCUCAUUUUUUAAAUUAGUUUUUUAAUUUUUGAAAGAACAAAAUAUUAUAUAUUUAUUCUUUUUACUAGAAAUCAUUAAACAUCAUCGCAAUGCUGGGUGCCAUAGAAACGAAUGAAACUUUUUGUAGGGAAUUUCAAAGAAAAGCCCAAAAAUCAUGAAAAAUCAAAACAAACAGAAACAAAAGAAAGGAAGAGAGAGAGAGGGGUAUAGAAGAAAGAUUUGAUAGGACUCAAACCUCAACGUUGAGUAGGUGUUCUAGUUGUUGCAUCCACCUUACUUGUGGUGGUCUGGUAGGGCUUGAACUCAAACACUGAGUUAGGAGACCGGAGAUCUUUUCCUCUUGUGAGAUGAAAUUGUAUGUAUCAUCUCUGCAUUGCAGAUUCACUGGCUCUAAAAUGAUGUUCCCAUAAAUUUUGCAGAAAUUCUUCGAUAACUAUGCGUAUCAAUCUCAUGGUUCUCGAACCAUUUCAAGAGCUUAAUUUGCCACAGAUGGACUCACACGUGUUAUGUAGUGCUUGGUUAUUGUUAAAAAAGAAAAACAAAAUACUGGGGUGAGAGAGGCUCGAACUCUCGACCUCAGGAUAACUCAGAAGCUAUGAGACCUACGCGCUAGCCAACUGCGCCACCACCCCUUGGUCGAUUCCUCCCAACUAAACAAUUUUAAACUUUAAAAGCUCAAAACGGAGAUCGUCAAAAGCUCAGGCUCAAUUUUCAGGGCUGUUUUUCUACACAAUGUACAGACUACAUAGUCGCUUUUAUAUGUUGUUGGCAAUGUCACAAUACAUCAGAACACUUGAUCCCAUGGAUUUCUAAAUCAUAAUUGGUCUAAUAAAUAACUAAUAAAACUAGAUCUAAAGGAAAAUGUUAAUUAUAAAAAACCUCUCAUAAGUUACAGUUAGAGAAUAAUAUAAAUUAUAUCUUGGAAUCUUAUUUAAUAGUUUAAGUUAAUGAAUUUAAAUAAUAAUUUGACAUGAUAUUAGAGUCUUGAUAUUGAUCAAGGGAUCACGGUUUCAAAUCUCAUCUUAUCCAUUUAUUUAAUAAAAACCAAACAUAAUUUAAUGCAGACUUGUGUAAAUUUCAAGUUUAAAGGAUAUUUAUUUAAAAGGAUGUGUUAGAAAAUAACAUAAAUUAUAUCUUGAAAUUUUAUCUAAAAAUUUAAGUUAUUGCAUUGAAAUGAUAACCCGACAUGAAAUACAACUCCAUAAUUAUUUCGUUCCUAUCAAAAAUACAAAUAAGGGAGCUAAUGAAACAAAACUAUAUAUAUAUUUUUAAAAACACACCUGUGCUACGAGAAAUUGUAGAAGAUUUUUGGACCUACCACGACGAGAAAUUGUAAAAGACAUUGAACCUUCCUAUUUUAAUCAAUCAUGAACUGCCGCCCAUUUAACAAGGGGAAUAUCUCUAAUCAAACCAGCAAAUAAAGUCGGAUAAAUAGUCUGAACCUUCUCAAAAUCCCAGGAAUGAUCAGUAGAAAUAAUGUCAGGAUAAGUCCGAUCCUCUAAUCUACUGAAGAGGAUAAUCACAAAUUAACCCCCUAGUUAUAUCGUAAGAAAAUAGAUCUACCAUGCAUGAUAAACAAAGAGCCCAACUCAGUUCUGUACGUGAAUUAUGGCUGCAUGACAGUGGUGACAGACCAACAGUUCAAGGAAUUGACAUGGGGACUGGCAAAUUGCAAUCAUCCAUUUUUAUGGAGGCCUGAUAUUUUUACCUAAAGAAUAUCACGGGAGAUGCAAGAACAGAGGGUUCCCAGCACCUUGGCGUCCUCAGGAUGAGGUACUUUAUGGAAUUCUAACUUGGAGAUUAUAUGUAAUUACCUAUAUAUGCGAUGAGCAACCGAUGAAUCGCCAGUAUUCUUACACUGUUUGGGGGGUUGGUAUGGAGAUUGACAAUAAUGCAAAGCGUGAGGAAAUCGAAGCCCUCGAUCGUUAAGCAAAUGAUGGAAGGGGAAGCAAAUGAAAAACAAGGCUUUGCAGUGGAAGAAGGAAGCUGAAGCUGCUGCUGCCAUUACAGGCUCAUCCGACAAUAAAUUCAUUGAGACUGUUUUAUGGUUGUCUUAUUUUUUGAAAAAACAAAUUAUGUACUCCAUUCUUCAAGAAUAACCUUUCAAGUUCUUUAAUUCCCUAACAACAUCAUGUCGGACCACAAAGCCAAUGAGACUGAGUCCCAAGCAGUCUUCAAUACAUAUAAAAUGGAAAAAUACAUGGUGAAGCAUACAAGAAGUGAGAUGACAGAAACAAACAGAAAAAUAUCACACCCAUACAAUACCAUUUAUUCUCUUACACUCUUCUAGACACGGAAAAGAGCCUCCUUGAUGAAUUUCUCGAAGUUAUUGUAAGAUGAUCCUCCAACAUUGGUAGCUGCUUCUGCUAUAUCUUUCCACUCCAGAGCCUUUUGCCUCAUUCGCUUCCCACUGUCCCCUUCUAUCAUUUCCUUGACAAGACUUUCAAUCUCGUUUCUCUUAACAUCAUGGUUGACCUCCACUCCAAUCCCCCAUUUGGUGCAUGCAUACCGGCAGUUCGGCUGUUGAUCGGCAAAAAAAGGCCAGCAGAUUACUGGAACGCCACAGGAUAUAGUUUCCAUCAUAGAAUUCCACCCACAAUGUGUUAGGAAAACUCCAACUGAUGGAUGUGCAAGAACUUGAUCCUGUGGACACCAGCUUGCUAAUAAUCCUCUACCGUCAAUUUGCUCAAGAAACUCUUCCGGCAAGAUUGCAGAAUCACCCAUCACUACAUCAGGCCUGAUUAUCCAUAAAAACGGUAGCUUACUAUUUGCCAGGCCCCAAGCAAAUUCUCUCAAGUGUGUGUCUGUCAUUACGGUCACACUUCCAUAAUUGAUGUACACAACAGAAUUAAGUCCUCUUUUAUCAAGCCAAUCAAGACAGUUUGAGUCUUCUUUCCAUAAACUUGAACCAAGUGAUCUGGAUUCGCUUUCAUCUGGGAUAUGCUUUAAUAGCAAGGGAAGAGGACCUAUUGAAUAAAUGUUAGGGAACUUGGUAGCAAUUAUAGACUCCAACACCUCAUUUUCGAAUUCGUUGAAUGUGUUGAAGAUAAUUGCAGGAGAGUUCAAGCAGUUCUCUGCUUCUGAUCCCAUAAAAUCAAACAUUAUUUCAUCGUUUGUGGUUCUGGUAAAGGUUGGCAUGUCUUUUAGCCGGAUGUUACUCAAACCAGGGAUCCAAUCAAUAGGCGUAUCUCCAUCUCGGAGUAAAUUUUCUUCUGAAACAACGGAAGGAUAAAAGUUUUAUGUCCUUGAUAAACAUUUUCUCAAACAAUAGAGAAAUAUCCAUGAGAGCAUGCUGCGUGCCCUCUUGGAUAGUACAAAACAGAUAAACGAAGAAAAGCCAGGAAAUACACACCUUUGUAUGGAACGAAGCCUCUUCUGGUGAGUUCACUGAAAUGCAAAUAUCCCAUGAAGCUACAAGCUGAGGCUGUCCAAAACUGAACCUGGGGAAUGCUAAACUCUUCUGCAGCUUUUAUUCCAAAGCUCAUGAUUCCAUCUGAGAUGACGCAAGUCACAGGAGGCACUUCAGAUGAUGAAUUCAACUUUGUAAGGAGCUCUUUAAAUGGGGCCAAACAAUUUUUCCUUGUUGAAUCACACAAGGACGGAACGUCCUGUGUUGCAUCAAAAUCAGACGGUGGCAAAGGCAAACCAUCCGGUAUGGUCUCAAACCGGAAAUCAGGCAGGCCUUCAACAGAGUCUGGUCCUCUGGACCGGAUUAAUCGCCUGUGGUUGAACUCCGUGUUAACGAAGGUUAUGUGAAAGCCUCUUGAGUGCAAAAGCUUGGCUAGGUGCAUCAUAGGGGUAACAUGGCCCUGUGAUGGAUAGGGAACACAUACUGCAUGUGGUUUUCUGGCUCCAGUCGAACUCAUGUUUUCUCUGAGGCACUGAAAUGAAAUGCUUUCCUGGUUUUUCUUGGCC